AACGAACGCUGGCGGCAUGCCUAACACAUGCAAGUCGAACGAGACCUUCGGGUCUAGUGGCGCACGGGUGCGUAACGCGUGGGAAUCUGCCCUUCGGUUGGGAAGUAACAACAGAGAAAUUUAGUGCUAAUACCUUAUAAUGUCUUCGGACCAAAGAUUUAUCGCCGAGGGAUGAGCCCGCGUAGGAUUAGCUAGUUGGUGGGGUAAUGGCCUACCAAGGCGACGAUCCUUAGCUGGUCNGAGAGGAUGAUCAGCCACACUGGGACUGAGACACGGCCCAGACUCCUACGGGAGGCAGC
rnacentral:rRNA from 1 species